rnacentral:rRNA from 1 species
AUGGCUCAGGAUGAACGCUAGCGAUAGGCCUAACACAUGCAAGUCGAGGGGCAGCACAUGAGUAGCAAUACGAUGGUGGCGACCGGCGCACGGGUGAGUAACACGUAUGCAACCUACCUUUAACAGGGGAAUAACCCGUUGAAAAACGGACUAAUACUCCAUAACACAGGGGUCCCGCAUGGGAAUAUUUGUUAAAGAUUAAUCGGUUGAAGAUGGGCAUGCGUUCCAUUAGCUUGUUGGUGAGGUAACGGCUCACCAAGGCCACGAUGGAUAGGGGAACUGAGAGGUUUAUCCCCCACACUGGAACUGAGACACGGUCCAGACUCCUACGGGAGGCAGCAGUGAGGAAUAUUGGUCAAUGGAGGCAACUCUGAACCAGCCAAGUCGCGUGAAAGGAUGAAGGUCUUAUGGAUUGUAAACUUCUUUUGCAAGGGAAUAAAGUGGGGGACGUGUCCUCCUUUGCAUGUACCUUGCGAAUAAGGAUCGGCUAACUCCGUGCCAGCAGCCGC